UUAAUUGAAACCAAAAAGAGGUAAAUUAUUGUUAAUAAUUACAUUGAAUGAUUUAAUCAUUCCAAUUAAG
rnacentral:tRNA from 1 species